UUUUUCAAGUUGCCAUUCAGGUAAUUCAACCCAGUUCAACUCGUGUAGUAUUAAAGUCAGCAAGCCAUGGGAUAGCCAUAUUAAUACUGAUUGAAUUCCUAAAUCCUUUACUCUUCCUUUGCCAAACAAUGUUGAAUUAGGGCGAUUGCUUGUCAAAUUUUGAGCAGGGUCGAAGUAACUCAUAGCUGCUGACAGUGGAAAUAUGAUUAACAGAUCCAUAAACAAAAAUUGGUUAUCGUUAAAGUUAUAAUUUUUUAAAUAGAGAAAGAAGACACCAGAAAACUGGACUAUAGCACACAACACCAUAUAUUGAAAACAACGAUGGCUAAGUAUUAAGGAGCAUCUGCCCUCCAAUAAGACAUUAAAAACAUCCUUAAUUGAUUUUUUUUUGCUAACAAAGGAAGCUGCAGCACAUGCCUCGGAAUCAGAGAGAGAAACUCCAACAUCGGCUUGCUUCAAAGCAAUACAGUCAUUUGCCCCGUCACCGCAAAAGCCAACUUUGCAGCCAUAUUUUUGACAAAGCUCCACAUAUGUAGCCUUGUCAA